GCCGGGUGUGGUGGCUCACACCUGGAAUCCCAGCACUUUGGGAGGCUGAGGUGGGUGGAUCACCUGAGGUCAGGAGUUCAAGACCAGCCUGGCCAACAUGGUGAAAACCCAUCUCUA
ensembl:misc_RNA Metazoa_SRP Metazoan signal recognition particle RNA